rnacentral:rRNA from 1 species
AUGUCGGCCGCCGCCGGCGGCAGCUCCUCCUCCUCCACAUCAGCGCCGCGGUUGGAAGGGAAGGUUGCGCUGGUUACCGGCGGCGCCUCCGGUAUCGGCGAAGCCAUCGUCCGCCUCUUCAGACAGCACGGCGCCAAGGUUUGCAUAGCAGAUGUCCAGGAUGAAGCCGGUCAGCAGCUCCGCGACUCCCUCGGAGGCGACCCCGAUGUCCUGUUCGUCCACUGCGACGUCACAGUCGAGGAAGACAUAAGCCGGGCCGUCGAUGCAACAGCCGAGAAGUUUGGCACCCUCGACAUCAUGGUCAACAAUGCCGGCAUUACGGGCGACAAGGUCACCGAUAUCCGGAACCUCGACUUUGCUGAUGUCAAGAAGGUGUUCGACAUCAACGUGCACGGCAUGCUGCUGGGCAUGAAGCACGCGGCGCGCGUCAUGAUCCCGAGCAAGAAGGGGUCUAUUGUCUCGUUGGCGAGCGUUGCCAGUGUCAUCGGAGGGAUGGGGCCUCACGCAUACACCGCGUCGAAGCACGCAGUGGUGGGUCUCACCAAGAGUGUGGCAUUGGAGCUGGGGAGGCAUGGCAUACGGGUGAACUGCGUGUCGCCGUACGCCGUGCCCACAGCGCUCUCCAUGCCGCAUUUGCCCCAGGGGGAGCAAAAGGGUGAUGCAGUGAGAGACUUCCUGGCCUUUGUUGGCAGUGAGGCAAACCUGAAAGGUGUUGAUCUGCUGCCGAAGGAUGUCGCCGAGGCGGUGCUCUACCUGGCAAGCGACGAAGCGAGGUACAUCAGCGCGCUCAACCUCGUGGUCGACGGUGGAUUUACAUCUGUGAAUGGCAACCUGAAGGCGUUUGAGGACUAG